AUAAGCCUGGGAAACUGGGUCUAAUACCGGAUAGGAGCGCCCACCGCAUGGUGGGUGUUGGAAAGAUUUUCGGUUUUGGAUGGACUCGCGGCCUAUCAGCUUGUUGGUGAGGUAAUGGCUCACCAAGGCGACGACGGGUAGCCGGCCUGAGAGGGUGACCGGCCACACUGGGACUGAGACACGGCCCAGACUCCUACGGGAGGCAGCAGUGGGGAAUAUUGCACAAUGGGCGCAAGCCUGAUGCAGCGACGCCGCGUGAGGGAUGACGGCCUUCGGGUUGUAAACCUCUUUCAGUAGGGAAGAAGAAAUGACGGUACCUGCAGAAGAAGCACCGGCUAACUACGUGCCAGCAGCCGCGGUAAUACGUAGGGUGCGAGCGUUAUCCGGAAUUAUUGGGCGUAAAGAGCUCGUAGGCGGUUUGUCGCGUCUGUCGUGAAAGUCCGGGGCUUAACCCCGGAUCUGCGGUGGGUACGGGCAGACUAGAGUGCAGUAGGGGAGACUGGAAUUCCUGGUGUAGCGGUGGAAUGCGCAGAUAUCAGGAGGAACACCGAUGGCGAAGGCAGGUCUCUGGGCUGUAACUGACGCUGAGGAGCGAAAGCAUGGGGAGCGAACAGGAUUAGAUACCCUGGUAGUCCAUGCCGUAAACGUUGGGCACUAGGUGUGGGGACCUUCCACGGUUUCGCGCCGCAGCUAACGCAUUAAGUGCCCCGCCUGGGGAGUACGGCCGCAAGGCUAAAACUCAAAGGAAUUGACGGGGGCCCGCACAAGCGGCGGAGCAUGCGGAUUAAUUCGAUGCAACGCGAAGAACCUUACCAAGGCUUGACAUGUCUCGAUCGCCGUAGAGAUACGGUUUCCCUUUGGGCGGGUUCACAGGUGGUGCAUGGUUGUCGUCAGCUCGUGUCGUGAGAUGUUGGGUUAAGUCCCGCAACGAGCGCAACCCUCGUUCCAUGUUGCCAGCACUAAUGUGGGGACUCAUGGGAGACUGCCGGGGUCAACUCGGAGGAAGGUGAGGACGACGUCAAAUCAUCAUGCCCCUUAUGUCUUGGGCUUCACGCAUGCUACAAUGGCCGGUACAAUGGGUUGCGAUACUGUGAGGUGGAGCUAAUCCCAAAAAGCCGGUCUCAGUUCGGAUUGGGGUCUGCAACUCGACCCCAUGAAGUCGGAGUCGCUAGUAAUCGCAGAUCAGCACGCUGCGGUGAAUACGUUCCCGGGCCUUGUACACACCGCCCGUCAAGUCACGAAAGUUGGUAACACCCGAAGCCGGUGGCCUAACC
rnacentral:rRNA from 1 species